AUAGCAAAGGCCUUCUUCAUUUAAUCUAUGUGCAUGUUUUAAGGCCAUUCAUUUCACAGUACCUAUGAAGUACUCCUCUAUUGAUUAAACAAUUAUGAAUGCUCAGAUUUUUGCAGAAUUUGAUCCAAUUCCACUGGCAAGUGCUUCUCUUGCGCAAGUUCAUGCUGCUAAAACUCAUGAUGGCGAAAAGGUUGCCGUAAAGGUUGUCUUCUGAGCUAUGCAAGGGCUUAAUUAUGUUAAUGUCCGGCUUCAACACACUCACUUGACGGAUACUGCCAUCGCAGAUAUUGCUACUGUGGGUUUGGUAGUGAAUUUCUUGCACUGGUUCUUUCUGCUUUUGAUUAUAGGUGGUUGGUUGAUGAAAUUCGGGAAAGUGCACCUAAGGCAAGUUUACUUUGAUUUCUACUUGAUCUUUCUAUACUAGUUUUUAGUGUUGGCAUAUAUUUGCAUGCUUGCAAUGAAGCAUGAUUGUAACUCUUUAUGUACUGAUGGGAUGCAUGCAUGAUUUUCUUCAUCAUUUUUGGGCCCCUUAAUGUCUUAAUGUCGGACAGUCUCUCUGUGUGUAUAUUCACAUACAAAUAGAUGUUUAUAUCUGCAUUCAGGUGACCUUUGUCCUAAUGAUUAUUUUUUUUAAUUGUUGUGAUGAUGCUUACUUUCUUCUCCCUUGUGCUUUGAGCUUUGUUUUGUGUACUGACUGCAGCUAUCAUUUUAACGGGGACAUAGUUCACAAUGUUUGUAUUUGGCUGACAUCUAAUGUGUCCUUUGACAACACAUCCUUUUUAUAAGAAUAUAAAUUACUUUUCAUUUUACUCUAGAAAGGUGGGCAUGGUACUUUGGUAAUUGUGGUUGUUAUUAUAGCAGUGUGCUUCUUUCUGUUUGCACUGAAGUUGAAAUUGUGAUGCAAGACUAAUUAUGGUUGGCCUACAAAGGCAUAGGUGGACCAAAGGAAUUAGGCAACGGUUUAGGUCAAGAAAUCUCCCUGUUGUUCUAUUACAGAGAAGGAUGUUUUUUUGAAGAUUGUAAAAUUCAGGCCUGCCAAAAAAUUAUUCUAAUCUCAAUUCCCUUUAUCUGAUCUUUAUCCUGAUCUGUUUUCCAUCACUCUAGAUGAAUAUGCUACUGUGUCUCCUCCUGUUCAAUGGUCUGAUGGUGUUUCUCAUUUGCAUCUUUUCUUUUGAAGGACAAUUGGUGAUUACUUAAUUUUGGAAUGCUCUCUGAUUUGUUAUCUUCUCUUUCACAAUUCAACCCUUCUUCAUCUGGAUAAAGCUCAUUAGAGAUGGUCUUCCGAUGGAUCUUUCACUGUCAAUUCUUACUACAGAUUUCUAAACUUUGAUAAUCUGGUCAAGAAGGAAUUCUCUCCGAUUUAGACAUCUGUUAUUUCUCUUAAGGUUAAAAAUUUCAAUUGGCUGGCUGUUAAUGAUAAAUUAUUGAUUGAUGAGAAUCUCUUGAAAAGGCACCAGCAAUUUUCCUCUAAUUGUGAUCUCUGCAAUGCCGAAGGAAAAUGGAGUUCACUAGUUCUUUAGGUGCCACCAUAACAGAGGAUUGUUGAAAUUUAUUAAAAACAGGUUAUCUAUAAAAGGUUUGUCUGGUCCUUUAGUGGGGUGAAAACAGAUGUUAUCCAUAUCUGUGUCUGUUUAAUAUUUGUAUCUACAUUUAUAUUCGCUGAAAAAAAUAUGGAUACAAAUAUGGAUAUAUUAAUAUCUGAUCCAGAUAUAGAUACAAAUUGAAUGUUAGUUAUAUUCGUAUUUUUUAUCCGAAUAUGGCUAUAAAUCAUAUUUUUUGGAUAUAAAUUGGAUCUUGAGUGGCAUUCAAUAAUGAAAACUAACAUAAGUGACCGCACAUGAUAAGAAUAAACAUUCAUUAUCUAUCUAGAUCGCACAUGAUGCAUGGGUAUAGUUUCUAAACCCUCAUGGAGACCGACCUGGUCAAGGGUUCGAGUCACUAGUUUAACUGGAUUUGCAUUAAAAUAAAAUAUUAAUUUUCUACAUAUAUAACUUUGAUAAAUUUAAUAAUGAUAUUAGUAACGUAAAAAUGUUAAUAGAUUUUAUAAAUUUUCUACAUCAACCAUUACUCUUUAAUUGCAACAAAUAUAAAAGAUAAUCAUGAAUUAUCUAUUUCUUGAGAGAUUGUAAAUAAAAUAUAUGUAUAAAUAAUAAAAUGAUAUAUAUUCAUUCUUUCAUUUUUAUCAAGGGGAAAGGAUUGAUAGUUAUAAAAAAUAAAUAAUUAUUAAAUACAAAGUGUUGUUCAAAUCUGGCCUGAGGGUGACCACGCCGGAGGAGUCGAGGAAGCUGCCGGUCUGUGGAAGAAGAGGAUAAGAGCCACCUCCCACUCGGCGGUGUACCUGCAUAAAGAUUUGCAGGAUUUUAAAUGAAUAAUGAGUAAGAAACCAUGAUAUAUGGGCAUAAGUACUUUCCAACAACCAUUAGCUCAUAAAUAUCACGUCCAAACAUGAUGUUUAUUAUUCAGUAACGCUAUAUUUUACCACAGAAGUCUAGAGGUUUAUGUAGAGAAUAUGUCAUUUAUAUGCCACCUCCAUAACAAGCAAAAUGAUGCACAAUAUUUGUAGGCACGCCAUCAUUGUUAUCAGAAUUGAUAUAUGAAAUUGCCUUCUUUUGU